UUGGCAGAUCAGGUUUCAAGUCCACAGUCAAUUGUAUAGCAAGCAAAGAAUUGUCUUCAUCUCUAGUUGCCAGAACUGCUCUGGAGUCACCAAGAUUUCCGACUACAAGAUCCUGGCCCUGAAAAGCCACAUGGUCAUCAAGCACGAUUAAGGAUACAGGUUUAAAUUCAUCCUAUGAAAAGCAAAAUCAUUUCAUUUUCUGUAAUAUUAACAACGUUACCACUUAUGUAUCAGUUAACAUUGUCCAUAAAAUCAUUUAAUGAUGUAAGAUCAAGUUUUAGGGGUCAAAAACAUGAGUACAAUAGAGGUGUGAUGAGCAGAAGGGAAAGCCAAACUUCAGAAAUGACAGGCAAGGCUUUAAUGACAUAACUUUAGCCAAGACAUGAACACGCAUGCUUAUUCAAGGGAUACAACAAGGCAGUUAUGGUCUGAUAAUGCAAUAUUCAGAGGUAAGAAUCUUGUGCAAGGCACAGUAUCAUCAAAAGCAUCAGAUGCGUCUUGAGCACCCUUGGAGGCUAGGGGCAUGGUGCAUGGUGCAAAGCACAGACAAACACCUAAGCGAAGUUAGAGCAUAUCUUUGAAAUUAAAAGUACAAAAAUUUCUAUGAGAAACUAAUAACAUGGAAAUAAGAGAAACACCAAAUAAAUUCUAAUAAAUUCCAAUGUCAAGGAAGUUGACACCAUUAAAAUGACGGUAGCAUACUUUGUACCAGUUUUGCUGCUGCAAAAUCUCUACAGUAGUACUCAGUUUAUAUUUCUAUUCAAUCAGGCGAGUACCAUCUAUAUCCAAAAGGUCAUCUCACUGAUAAAACUAAGAACUGCUCUGUAGCUUUUGCAUGUAAAGUAACAGAAAAUGAAGGAGGCCAAACCCUAAUCUUUAAUUUGGAAAUUCAUUCAGAGUCCAGGAAUGAUGUGCAACCAUGAAUAACAAACACUUAAAAAGAUCAGGUCAUUAAAUUUUAUAAGCUGCUAGUUUGUUGUACAAUUAUUUUCGUACAAGAUGUUUGAGACUUGUGAGUUUAAUGCAGUUUUUUUUUUUCUAAAAUACAAUUUUCAUUCUCUACGUCUAAGUCCUAGUCAUAGAAGGAUUGACAGAUUCAGUCUAAUAUGCUCUAUGACAUUCUUUUUUUAUUCAGAGAAGAACGCAGAGACUUGAUAUGUUUUUGAGCUUGUCUGGGAGGUAUCACUGCCCUCUUUCAGAGGCAUGGUUACCUAGAAACCCCAUGAGCAAUUCAAUAUGGUUAAUUUGUUUCUUAACAAUUUUCCCAUUAAAUUUCAUACUUCCUGCAAAAUUCAGCCCCCAAGAUAAAGCCUGAACUUAGCCUUAACAUGAAAUUGAUUCAUAAAUCCUGAUUCCAACUCAUAAUGCCAUAAAGACUGCAAUUAAAUUCCCAAUCAUAAUGUUGAAAUAAAGAUGUCCUGCCUCAAAAUUUCUAACCAAGAGAAGUGGAAAUUUAGCUACACAUAAGCAAGACAAAUUGCAUGUAAUACUGUACCACUUGUGAAGAUGGGUAGAAAAAGAAUCCUCAGUUUUCUAGCCUCUACUCUAAGCCAAUUUAUCUGCCAUUUAUUUAAUCCAAUCUCUAUCAUCUUACAAUCAUAGAGGCACAGAAUUAUUUCAAUAGAAGGCAAAUCAUUAUUUGGUAUGACAACUUAUUAAAUAUGCAUCUACCAGCAAGGGAGGGGGAAGGGGGGUGGCGGUCCAUAGCUUAAUGUGUGGGGGCAAGUGCACCCACUGAAAUCAUGAAAUACUUAAGUUUUUAUUGAUAAAUAUAAGUAUUUUAUUUGAAACCCCUAUUAAAAUUUAUUUAAUGCCGCAAUUAAAAUGUAUUUUUGUUUCUCAAUUCGGUGUAAAAUUUAAUGUAUGACACUUGUCAAAAAUUUUACUCAAUGUAAUACAUAAAAAGUUUUAUGAUUAUU
rnacentral:misc_RNA from 1 species